CAAGCCUAAGAACGCUGUCUCUCUCUCUCCUUUCCCUUCUCCUGUCCUUCUUCCCCAGUUUUCCCCCUCUCUCUUUUCUCCCUCUCUGUGUGUUUUGCCCGUGGCUGAGUUAAUCAAGGUUCCUUAAAUGCAGUUAACACGUCUCAAUAAGCAAGAGGCACCAGAAAGAUGCGAUCUACUCUGUCAAAAUCUGUAGAAGUGAGGAGAGGUGUAAGUAGUCAGCCGUGGUCCAGAUGAGCAAACCCUCGAGAUGAAAAGGAAUUCAGUGAACGCUCCACUCUGCGCCAGCAGGUCAAGUGUAGAAAUUCGGUUCAGACGCCCCCAAAGCCAGGUCAUGCUGAGAGUGCCUGUUCUGAGCCAUCGCUAGGGCUAGUCAGUAAACAGGAAAGAGGCUUCAGUGGCUUCUUCAGCUCAGGCACUUCAGAACUUCUGACUCCAGGCUCGUGUUUCACAAACUCAGAUGUUCCCUGGGAGUUAAGCCCCUCCGUUGAGAGACAGUAAGCUGAUCACUGCCCAGGAAAGCAUUCCUGGGUGCUCUGUGUCCUACAGAGGCAAACUAGGAUGAAAAUUGGAGAGUGAACCAGGCCAAGGACCACUUUUGUGAAAGGAGAUCCAGGCCAAAGCUGUCAUCCCUGAAGAAAUUCAGAGGCCUGAAGGGGGUGGGGGAUUAGCCACCCCCUUGCGUCCAUCUUCCUCCUAGAUUUCGUAGCCUCUGCCAGCUGGGAAGACCCCAGGAGUGAAGAGCAGAGUUCAGUCCAUCAGAGGGAAGCAAAGCAUGGAAAGACGCAUCCAGCCAGGCUCUGAAACCCACAGUAAAGGCAGUGCCCUUCUCUGUAGGACCUAGGUGGGAAUGGGCAACUGCAGGGACAAAUUGAG